CCACAGCAUUUAAGCUGCAAGGAAACAAAAUUCAUGAUUACCACGCUGCUGAAGCGCCAAUAUAGAAAUAUGCAAUUACGAUCUCAGUUGCGAGAGAUUUCGCAGGAAGUGCUCCACGACGCGUUUUCAUAUACACAUAAUCGUUAAGAGUGGUCAAGGAAGCCGGCGAUGUAAAAAUCGAUUUACACUACCCUUCUGGUGGCGUGCACGCCAGCUAGCACACAUACAUAUAUUAUACACACGAGGUAUUAGAGCCAGGCACUGAAAUUAUCCCUGUCGCCUGUCGUCCGCGAUAUCCUCACGACGACCGGGUCGCUCCCACGACUGGGGAAGACAUAAUGCAAAGCGCGAAAAACUUUUAACAAAGCCGCGCUAUCGGGAAAGGAAAAAAAAAAAAAAAA